GACGAACGCUGGCGGCGCGCCUAACACAUGCAAGUCGAACGAGCGAGAGAGAGCUUGCUUUCUUGAGCGAGUGGCGAACGGGUGAGUAACGCGUGAGGAACCUGCCUCAAAGAGGGGGACAACAGUUGGAAACGACUGCUAAUACCGCAUAAGCCCACGGUGCCGCAUGGCACAGAGGGAAAAGGAGCAAUCCGCUUUGGGAUGGCCUCGCGUCCGAUUAGCUAGUUGGUGAGGUAACGGCCCACCAAGGCGACGAUCGGUAGCCGGACUGAGAGGUUGAACGGACACAUUGGGACUGAGCCACGGCCCAGACUCCUACGGGAGGCAGCAGUGGGGAAUAUUGCACAAUGGGGGAAACCCUGAUGCAGCGACGCCGCGUGGAGGAAGAAGGUCUUCGGAUUGUAAACUCCUGUUGUUGGGGAAGAUAAUGACGGUACCCAACAAGGAAGUGACGGCUAACUACGUG
rnacentral:rRNA from 1 species